rnacentral:rRNA from 1 species
GAUCAGGCUCAGGACGAACGCUGGCGGCGCGCCUAACACAUGCAAGUCGAACGAGCGAGGGAGAGCUUGCUUUCUCAAGCGAGUGGCGAACGGGUGAGUAACGCGUGAGGAACCUGCCUCAAAGAGGGGGACAACAGUUGGAAACGACUGCUAAUACCGCAUAAGCCCACGGCUCGGCAUCGAGCAGAGGGAAAAGGAGCAAUCCGCUUUGAGAUGGCCUCGCGUCCGAUUAG